CUCUAUCUUUUAUCUCAGAGGUUUUCAUAGGUUUCCUGUUUCUAAUAGUGCCGCCAUUUGAGAAACCCAUUGAUUUUCCAACCUUGAGAGACAUGAAGCAACCCAGAUAAGAAAACUAGCGGCGUCUAAUUCAAAGGAACCAGUGUUCAGUUUGUUUCAAUCUUCAAAGAAACCAAAGCAAGCAAGAUAGUCGUUUUGAGAGUUGAAACCCUUUUUGGAUCUUUGAUAUGUUUAGGGUAUAUCAAUGACUGCCUUAGACAGCUCCACACUCUCUCAAUUUAAGACUUGAUUCAUUUCCCUGAAUCGCUGCAGUUUUAACAAAGACUCUGGUCUACAGACAGCUCAGACAUUACUGUUUGACACAAUUCACAUCUUGGGUAUGUCUUCUUCAUGGAUUCGUUCACUUUCAGCUCAGAAGAGGAAGUUUGGUUAUGGCCUCUUUCAUAAUCCACUUAAGAGUUCCACAAACUCAAUCCCCCAGUUUUGCAUACAGAGACACAGAGACCUGACUACCAUUGGAUCCUUUUUUACCACUUCCUCGUUCAAUCGCAUUGGAAUACCGUCUUUGAGUUGGAUUCAUGGCAGGCCAAUCUCAAUCUUGCAUCCUUGCAUCCUUCAGGCUACAGCGGAACUUUGCACGCUAACUAAUGUUGAACCGUCUGAUACUGAUUCUUGCAGUGAUGCAGGUGCUCGUGUUGAGGUGUCGCGUGAUGAUUCGGAUGAUAAUGUUGCAACAAAGGAAGUUAGGGUUGAGUAUGAAAAGCCAGUAGAUUUCACCAAAGUGAAGAAGAAUCUGCUUCCGACUGUGAUUCUUGUUGGCCGCCCGAAUGUGGGCAAGUCAGCUUUGUUCAAUCGUUUGAUCCGGAGGCGGGAGGCCCUUGUGUACAACACACCAGAUGAUCAUGUUACUCGUGACUUCAGAGAUGGCAUUGCUAAAUUGGGUGAUCUGCGAUUCAGGGUAUUGGAUUCGGCUGGCUUAGAAACAGCAGCUUCUUCAGGUUCUAUUCUUGACAGAACAGCAGGGAUGACUGCAAGUAUAUUGGCAAGGUCUCAGUUUGCGGUUUUCCUUAUAGAUGUGAGAGCUGGACUGCACCCACUGGAUCUGGAGGUUGGAAGGUGGUUGCGCAAGCAUGCACCUGGAAUCAAUAUUGUAGUUGCCAUGAAUAAAUCAGAGUCACUUUUUGAUGGUAGUGGCUCUCUUGCUGCGGCUGCUGCUGAAGCUUAUAGGUUGGGAUGGGGUGACCCUAUUGCCAUUUCAGCUGAAACUGGACUCGGUAUGCAAGAUCUUUAUGGGAGUCUAAAGCCUAUGCUUGAGGAUUAUAUGCUCAGUGUCUUAAACAAUCAAGAAAACACUGAUGAGGGAAAUUUCAGUGACGACAGCUCCUGUGAGAUUGAGGAUAGUAAGCUGCCAUUACAGUUAGCAAUCGUUGGAAAACCCAAUGUUGGGAAGUCAACCUUGCUGAAUACAUUGUUACAAGAAGAACGUGUGCUGGUAGGUCCGGAGGCUGGUCUGACAAGAGAUUCAAUUAGAGCUGAGUUUGAAUUUCAAGGGAGAACUAUCUACCUGGUUGACACUGCAGGCUGGUUGCAGAGAACAAAGAUGGAGAAAGGACCAUCAUCCUUGAGCAUUGUGCAGUCAAGAAAGAGUCUCAUGAGAGCUCAUGUAGUUGCUCUGGUCCUAGAUGCCGAAGAGAUCUCAAAGGCCAGAAGAAGUAUGAAGCAUGAUGAAGUAGUUAUAGCUAGACAGGCUAUUGAAGAAGGCCGUGGUUUAGUGGUGGUUGUGAACAAGAUGGAUCUAUUAAAAGAACAAGAAAUUUGUGACAACGUUAUGGAAGCUGUGCCUCAAGAAAUUCAGACUGUUAUACCCCAGGUGACUGGAAUACCAGUAGUAUUCAUAUCAGCAUUGGAAGGAAGGGGUCAGGCAGCUGUCAUGCACCAAGUUAUUGAUACAUAUGAAAAAUGGUGUUCAAGGUUGUCCACAGCUCGUCUGAACCGUUGGUUGCGCAAGGUUAUGAGCAGGCAUUCUUGGAAAGAUCAGUCUGCUCAACCCAAGGUUAAGUACUUUACACAGGUGAAAGCACGACCACCCACUUUUGUGGCCUUUGUUAGUGGGAAGAAAGAGCUCUCAGAUACAGACAUCAGGUUCUUAAAAAGGUCUUUGAAGGAAGACUUUGAUUUGGGUGGAAUUCCGAUCAGGAUCAUGCAGAGGAACGUCCCACGGAAGGCUGCCAAUGGCAAUAGCAAGAGCGGCCAAUUUACUAAUAGAAUGCCUGAUAGGAUCUUCUCUGACAAGAGAACUGUAUCCGUGUGAACUACCAUUUCUCAGUGCUUCUUGGGGAUGUUGGAGCUAUGAUGUCUUCUCUAGGGUUUCUCUUUGUAUUAGGAUGGUUUCUUGAAUUUCAGGUAAUAUAUAAAUCCUUCUAUUGAUGUUGGUCAGUAUUUUACUGAAGUUGUGAAUGGCGACAUGCCGACAAACCUGAAGAAAAGCACUUGAGGAGAUAACACUUGGAGAAUAUGAGAGAGUUUCCGAAGAGAAGAGGAAGGUUCAGUUGGAGGCGUACAAUCAGGAAAAAGGUGGUGGUGUUUGUUCUUUUUUUUUUUUUUUGGUGGCAACUGCUUGAAGCUUUGUAUAUUUGGUCCAUGGAGCUGCAUUGUGUUUCAUCAGAUAAUUAGGUGUACCGUCUGAGAAUGCUAGUUUUUCCAUCAAUGACUAUUAUUUAUCAAUGUCCGUGAGCUUCUUGUACAUUUUGGAUACUGGUAGAACCUCCGUUAAAAUUGCAUCAAUAACAGAAUUCACUAUAAAAACUCAUGUCCUUGAUAGUAUUCAUAUUGUAAUCUCAUAAAGAAGGUGAAGUCCAUUACACUUCCGAU